AGAGUUUGAUCCUGGCUCAGAAUCAACGCUGGCGGCGUGCCUAACACAUGCAAGUCGAGCGAGAAAAGGGGGGCAACUCCCUGAGUACAGCGGCGCACGGGUGAGUAACACGUGGGUAAUCUGCCCUGGAGUGGGGAAUAACACCGGGAAACCGGUGCUAAUACCGCAUACGAUAACGAGGUCUGCGGACUUUGUUAUGAAAGGAGCAAUUCGCUCUAGGAGGAGCCCGCGGCUGAUUAGCUAGUUGGUGAGGUAAUGGCCCACCAAGGCUACGAUCAGUAUCCGGUCUGAGAGGACGGUCGGACACACUGGAACUGAGACACGGUCCAGACUCCUACGGGAGGCAGCAGUGGGGAAUUUUUGGCAAUGGGGGCAACCCUGACCAAGCAACGCCGCGUGGGUGAUGAAGUCUCUUGGGACGUAAAACCCUUUCGACGGGGAAGAAACCGCAAGGUUGACGGUACCCGUAGAAGAAGCCCCGGCUAACUCCGUGCCAGCAGCCGCGGUAAUACGGGGGGGGCAAGCGUUGUUCGGAAUUACUGGGCGUAAAGGGCGCGUAGGCGGUGCUCUAAGUCGGAUGUGAAAACUCUGGGCUCAACCCAGAGCCUGCAUCCGAAACUGGAGUGCUAGAGUUCUGGAGGGGGUAGCGGAAUUCCUGGUGUAGCGGUGAAAUGCGUAGAUAUCAGGAGGAACACCGGUGGUGUAGACGGCUCUCUGGACAGUAACUGACGCUGAGACACGAAAGCGUGGGUAGCAAACAGGAUUAGAUACCCUAGUAGUCC
rnacentral:rRNA from 1 species